AAAAAUAUUUCUAAAAAUAAAUAAAUUAUGAACCAAAAAGGGAAUUGUUGAAAUUGGUACAAGCUUUUAAGAAAAUGUAUUAUUAUAUGUUCUCUUUCUUCAAAAGCAUAUGAUUUUUAGAUAUUGAACUAUCUCUGCCAAGUUCUAGUGCGUUAAAGCAAUGGUGCGCAAAAUUAUCUUGUGCUCCAGGUUUACAGGAUGAUGUUUUAAAUUUGAUUAAAAACUGUGCCAAAAAUUUAAGUGGAUUAAAAAAAUUUGUGUUCUUAGUUUUGAGGAAAUGAAUGUCUCCUCUGAUAUUUGCUAUGAUGCUGGACUUGAUCAAAUCCUAUCUCCUUUCAAAAAAGUUCAUCUGGAUUUUAUAAGAGGACUGUUUUCAAAGUGGAAACAAAAGAUUUUUUUACGAUUUAUAAGUUACAAUGAAUAAAGUCUUACUUUUCAAAGUCAUAGAAGGCUUGGAAAUCUAUGCCAAAGCUAUUGUUUCAGAUUUAGGAGGAUCUGGAACACUUUGGAAGAAUCUCCAAAUAACAAUUUGAAUAAGUUUAUUUUUUGAAUCCUGACCAUCGUCAAAAGCCUUUUUUUUGCUAACAUGUUACCGCAGAAUCAUUUAUUGGACCUUGGAAUAAUUUUAGAUGAUGGAAUUUUGAUCAACUCUGGAAUUGUUGAAGAAGUAUUGAGAAAAGGUACAGGAGAAAAGAAAAUUGUGCCACAAACUAAAAGAGUCAUAUCUGUUAGUUUAAGGUAAUGAUAGACAGAAAGUUACAUCAGCAAAGGUAUUAUUCUCUUCCAUUACAUCAAAGGUUUAAAGAAGAGUUUACUGGAAACAAGAAGGCAUAUGAGUUUUUUAAAAAUUAAUCCAUGAUUUUUUUGAUGUGUUGAACAGCAAGAGCUUAGAGCCUUCUCCAGCAAAAAAAGAGAAUGAUGUGAAGUUUUCAUAAUAUCUUUACUUGCGGUCUCUGAGAUCUGUGUGUGGCAUGACGUCAAGAGGAGGGAAAUCGUAGCUUUAGCUCUAAGAGAGGAAUGAACCAGCCUUUCUCUCUCUUUUUCUUUAGCCCUGAUUUUUACCAGUUAAGCAUUAAUUAAAAGUAGCAGGAAGAGUAAUCUUUUCAUCAUUGUACUGUCUAUGAAAUCUGAAUGGAAAGGAAGAAAAAAUCUGCGAAUGCACUGUAAAACCAGUUGGUCAAUGAGCUUUAGGAAUACAGUGGUUUGUUAAACUAAUUAACUUUGUUUAAGACACUCUUGCCUUGUUUCCACUAGCAGGUUUAAGAAAUUUUAAGAUUUCUUAAACCUGCAAGGUAUUAGUCUUAAAAUUUUCUUCAUGUUAAGUAUAAUUUUCGAAAUUUUCUCUUUUUUACGUUAUGUUAUGUUUAUCUCUUUGGUACUUCCUUUUUUAUUAAAUAUAUGUUACUUUCUGCACAUAAAACUACUAUUUAACUUUAUGACUUGCAUAUAGUGUGUUUAAAUAUAUCUUGGUCAGUAGAAAAACUGAAACAAACUUGUUCAAUAUUUUUCAUAAAACUAUUGAAUCAUGUUAAAAUUAAUUUAACCCUUAGCAUCUCUGGAUU